rnacentral:rRNA from 1 species
CGCCCUUGAGUUUGAUCAUGGCUCAGAUUGAACGCUGGCGGCAUGCUUUACACAUGCAAGUCGAACGGUAACGCGGGGGCAACCCUGGCGACGAGUGGCGAACGGGUGAGUAAUACAUCGGAACAUGUCCUGGAGUGGGGGAUAGCUCGGCGAAAGCCGGAUUAAUACCGCAUACGCUCUGAGGAGGAAAGCGGGGGACUCGCAAGGGCCUCGCGCUGCAGGAGUGGCCGAUGUCGGAUUAGCUAGUUGGUGAGGUAAAGGCUCACCAAGGCGACGAUCCGUAGCUGGUCUGAGAGGAUGAUCAGCCACACUGGGACUGAGACACGGCCCAGACUCCUACGGGAGGCAGCAGUGGGGAAUUUUGGACAAUGGGGGCAACCCUGAUCCAGCCAUGCCGUUUUUUUGAAGAAGGCCUUCGGGUUGUAAAGCUCUUUCGGACGGGACGAAAUGGUUACAGUGAAUAACUGUGAUUGAUGACGGUACCGUAAUAAGAAGCACCGGCUAACUACGUGCCAGCAGCCGCGGUAA